rnacentral:rRNA from 1 species
GGAUUAGGCAUGCAAGUCGCACGAGAAAGGUUUCUUCGGAAGCCGAGUACAGUGGCGAACGGGUGAGUAAUGCAUAGACAACUCGCCCUUGAGAUGGGGACAACGCCUCGAAAGGGGUGCUAAUACCCAAUGCCGCCUUGGGCCUGCGGGUCCAGGGUGAAAGGAGGCCUCUGAUUCAAGCUUCCGCUCAAGGAGAGGUUUAUGUCCUAUUAGCUAGUUGGCGGGGUAACGGCCCACCAAGGCUGCGAUGGGUAGCCGACCUGAGAGGGUGACCGGCCACAUUGGGACUGAGACACUGCCCAGACUCCUACGGGAGGCUGCAGUCGAGAAUCUUCCGCAAUGCGCGCAAGCGUGACGGAGCGACGCCGCGUGGGUGAUGAAGGCCUUCGGGUUGUAAAACCCUGUCAGCUACUACGAAACACGGGCGAUGAACAAUCGUCCCGUCUGACUUAAGUAGCAGAGGAAGCACCGGCUAACUACGUGCCAGCAGCCGCGGUAAUACGUAGGGUGCAAACGUUGUUCGGAAUCACUGGGCAUAAAGGGCGCGUGGGCGGUCUGAUAAGUCAGGUGUGAAAUCCCUCGGCCUAACCGAGGAACUGCAUUUGAUACUGUCGGGCUAGAGUACAGGAGGGGAGAGUGGAAUUCCUGGUGGAGCGGUGAAAUGCGUAGAUAUCAUGAGGAACGCCGGCGGCGAAAGCGACUCUCUGGCCUGUUACUGACGCUGAGGCGCGAAAGCUAGGGGAGCAAACGGGAUUAGAUACCCCGGUAGUCCUAGCCCUAAACGAUGGGCACUAAGUAGAGGGGUUUU